rnacentral:lncRNA from 1 species
AUGAAGCUGGACUUUCCUGUUCAGAGUGCUCCUAGGUAUCACCAGAAGUGUCAGAAUAUACUAACUGCAGCAUGUACAGUUGUACAGAGAGAGAGAGUUUACAACAAUGCAGAAGUCUGUCUUUUACAGAGGGAGUUUUCAGUGAGCAGGCGUCAAAGCGAAACGAGAAAUGUCUUGACUUCAGGACUGUGGGAAACCAGGUAUCCAUUAGAGUGGCCAGCUGUCCCCCUUAGAUCCAGAGAUUGGCCUGUAUCCUGA